GUAGGAAACCGAAAGGUGACCGACCUUCGGGAGCUUGCACAGGUGCUGCAUGGCUGUCGUCAGCUCGUGUCGUGAGAUGUUCGGUUAAGUCCGCUAACGAGCGCAACCCUCGCUGUGUGUUAUAUGUGUCACACGGGACUGCCGGUCUUAAGCCGGAGGAAGUGGGAUGAUGUCAAGUCAGCAUGGCCUUUAUAUCCCUGGGCUACACACACGCUACAAUGGCCAGCACAGUAGGUUGCUAAGCCGCGAGGUGGAGCCAAUCCAUAAAGCUGGUCUCAGUUCAGAUUGCAGGCUGCAACCCGCCUGCAUGAAGUCGGAAUCGCUAGUAAUCGCGGAUCAGAACGCCGCGGUGAAUACGUUCUCGGGGUUU
rnacentral:rRNA from 1 species